rnacentral:tRNA from 1 species
ACUUAAAUAGCUUAAAUUUUAAAGCUUAACUUUGAAGAAGUUAUAAUAGGUGCAACCUUUUAAGUA